rnacentral:rRNA from 1 species
CCUACGGGUGGCAGCAGUGAGGAAUAUUGGUCAAUGGACGAAAGUCUGAACCAGCCAAGUAGCGUGAAGGAUGACUGCCCUAUGGGUUGUAAACUGCUUUUAUAAAGGGAUAAAACGAGACACGUGUGCCUUUUUGCAUGUACUUUAUGAAUAAGGAUCGGCUAACUCCGUGCCAGCAGCCGCGGUAAUACUGAGGAUCCGAGCGUUAUCCGGAUUUAUUGGGUUUAAAGGGAGCGUAGAUGGUUUGUUAAGUCAGUUGUGAAAGUUUGCGGCUCAACCGUAAAAUUGCCAGUGAUACUGACAGUCUUGAGUGCAGUUGAGGUAGGCGGAAUUCGUGGUGUAGCGGUGAAAUGCUUAGAUAUCACGAAGAACCCCGAUUGCGAAGGCAGCUUACUAAACUGUGACUGACAUUGAUGCUCGAAAGUGUGGGGAGCAAACAGGAUUAGAUACCCGAGUAGUC